UGCCCAAAAAGAAGCACCACCAAGAACAAGAAAGUUCAUUCAUGGAAGCUGCUUCAGGAUCGCGAACUCACUCGGAGUGCAACCCGAAAUGUGACUGGACAGAAGUGGGCGAGUUCGAUGCACUGAAAGUUGACCUCUCAGGAUUAGGAUUCAAGAAGGAAGAACUAAAGGUUUUAGUCGACACUUCGAGGAAACUAACGAUCAGUGGAGAGCGAGCUCUAAGAGACGGUCAAUGGCGUCGCUUUCUCAGGAGCUUUCAGCUUCCAAAGCAUUGCAACAUCGGAGAGCUCGGAGCCAAAUUUGAUCAAGAAAUCCUCUACGUAAUUCUGCCAAAACCUACAAAUGAGAUGAAGCAAUCCGGAGGUGUUCUAAAGGCUCUAAGUAAGCGCAGACUGAUUCUGACUGGAGUUGCAGCCAUUGUGCUUGUAGCAGGACUUGGAGCUUUUGCAGCUUACAAGCUCACCCGCUCAUAAAGGAUACUUGUAUCUCUGAUGCAUAUAUGUCUGCAUUAGCUGCAGUUCCGAAUGCCCUAAGAAGAUCUAUCUUUUGACUCCAUAUUACAAGACUAAUAAAUCAAUGUCUACUAGUUGAUCUCA